UGAGGCCCGAAGCUACUGAUUGAAAUUGGUUGGAACGACGAAAAACCCCGCCAAUUGCGAAGGAACCCAAACAACGGAGGGCUCAGAUGAAGUUCAUAGCGACGUUCUAGCGGAAUCUAGACAAGCUUGCUACAAGGCUCGCGAUACUUUUUAUGCUUGUGUGGAGAAGGAAUCGGACAAAAAAUCCACUGAAAUAGCUUCUGUUGGUCUAAUUUACCCUGCCGAGUGUAAAGUUUUGAGGGCCGAAUUUGUCAAGCUUUGCAGGUUUCUUGGGUAAAUGUCAUUGUCUGAUCACUUGAGAUUUCAAUAAGGCGCUGGUUCUUAGAAUUUAUGGUCUAGUAGGUUUUGAUUUGGUAGGUGAAGCAUUUUGAUAUGAAGUUUUGUCAGAACAGUAGGGUUCAAAGACUCCUAGAUGACAAAGAUUCAAGCAGAGGUCCCUUGAUGCUCCCGCAACCUAAUACUUUUAAGCUUACUGAUUAAACUAAACAUCAUCCCCCGGUGGAACAAAUUUGAGCGGUCAGAGUCUCAUCACUAUCGUUAUUUUGUGCUUCUUUUUUUAUUCUGCAUAUGGAUGAUUGUGGCAAUAGUUUUAGUAAUGAUAUCAAUCUUCUUUCCAA